rnacentral:rRNA from 1 species
UACGAAGGGGGGCGAGCGUUAUUCGGAAUCACUGGGCGUAAAGCGUGCGUAGGCUGUUUAGCAAGUUGGAAGUGAAAGCCCAGGGCUCAACCCUGGAAUUGCUUUCAAAACUGCAAAACUAGAGUCCGGGAGAGGAUAGCGGAAUUCCCAGUGUAGUAGUGAAAUACGUAGAUAUUGGGAGGAACACCAGUGGCGCAAGCGGCUAUCUGGACCGGUACUGACGCUGAGGCACGAAAGCGUGGGGAUCAAACAGG